UUCUCUCUCCUUUUUUUUCAACCACCGUCAAUACCUCUGCAACUACCCCCGCGGCCCGCCAGCUCCGCCGCCUUUAACAUAUUUGUGCUCUUUUUUACUACCUCUGCAAUUGACUCUCCAUUCCAAUGGAAACCUGUUAUCAGCAACAUAUUCUUGUUCGAGAGACCUUUUUCUUCUAGCGAUUAAUUUCUAAAAUCAGAUUCAAAGAUAUGUAUUGAACUUGUUCGAAUUAUUGAAGCUCAAGAAGAAAUGAUGAUGUCGGUGGUAGUUUCUGUGGUGGCCGGAAUGGUGGAGGAGAAAUCAUUUGAAGAAACAAUGGAGUCCAUAGAAAAGAACAAAAGAGCAAAAAAGGAUAAGAGCUGAAAUAUGAUGAGGACUUGAAUCUUAAAAGUAUAAUGGAAUCCAGUGCUCUACAGAUUUCCUUUUAAUCAAGCAGAGGAGGGUUGCGGUUGCUGUCCAACUCAACCACGGAUUAUUGAUUCUCGGAGAACAUUAUGUCAUAUAUCACUAGUGAGCCAUCUCACAUUCUGGUCUCGGGUUUGGUUUGAAACGAGAAUGUUUUGGGAGAGAAUUUCGAGAAGUUUUUCACGGGAAAGGUGAUACAACCCUUAGACAGGAUUGGUAAGAAUGUCGGAACAAAAAGGAAAGAAGAUUUCUCUUCAUCUCGGUAAGUCAGGGAAGAAAUAUAUACAGGAUAUUCUCGGUUUUAUUUUGGAAGAUAUCGUACUAGUCGAGGGAAGAUUAUCUCUGAGAUGAUUUAGUUCUAUAUUUGGACGCGUAGAAGUGAAGCAAAGGGAGAGCAGAGACGCAUGAAGAGUGUUUAAAAGGGAAAUAAAUCUCUGAAGCUUGAGGUAAAAGAAACAAAGAUAUUCUCGAGCUAUAGUUGGCCAGUGGAUAUAAAUAUUAUAGGUGUGAGUCUCACAUGGGACAAUCGAGAAUUGGGGGGAAGUUAUAGAGGCACGGGAGAGCCAACAGAGGUCUCUGCUCGGAGAAAGAAAGUUGCAGAGUUGUUUCUGCACUUUCAGGGAAGAAAGGAAGAAGAAGAACAUUCAACACGGCAGAACAGUCGCAGAGUACUAUUUUUAAUCAACAACAGAGGAUACUUAUCGUUCUUUGACCUCGCUCGCAAAAGAUCAUUAGCAACUGCUACGACAACUGAAACUUACCUUUCUGCGACUGUUUUAUUCCUUUUCACCUUUGUAAACCUUUUGAACGUGUUUUGAGCAAUGGAAAAAAUAUUUUGAACGUGUUUUGAGCCCAAUGAGCUAAACCCUAAUACUGGGACAAUGGAG